AUUGCUUCUUGGCCUUUUGGCUAAGAUCAAGUGUAGUAAUCUAUAUUUCUUAAAAUUCCUAUUUAUGUUCAGGGCUUCCGUUAGUACCACGCUGUUUCCCUUUAAACAUGUUAUUUAUUGUCAU
ensembl:snRNA U2 U2 spliceosomal RNA